AGUGAACGCUGGCGGUAGGCCUAACACAUGCAAGUCGAACGGCAGCACAGUAAGAGCUUGCUCUUACGGGUGGCGAGUGGCGGACGGGUGAGGAAUACAUCGGAAUCUACUUUUUCGUGGGGGAUAACGUAGGGAAACUUACGCUAAUACCUCAUACGACCUACGGGUGAAAGCAGGGGAUCUUCGGACCUUGCGCGAUUGAAUGAGCCGAUGUCGGAUUAGCUAGUUGGCGGGGUAAAGGCCCACCAAGGCGACGAUCCGUAGCUGGUCUGAGAGGAUGAUCAGCCACACUGGAACUGAGACACGGUCCAGACUCCUACGGGAGGCAGCAGUGGGGAAUAUUGGACAAUGGGCGAAAGCCUGAUCCAGCAAUACCGCGUGGGUGAAGAAGGCCUUCGGGUUGUAAAGCCCUUUUGUUGGGAAAGAAAAGCAGCAGGUUAAUACCCCGCUGUUCUGACGGUACCCAAAGAAUAAGCACCGGCUAACUUCGUG
rnacentral:rRNA from 1 species